CUCUCUUUCCCAUAUCCUCUAUUCUCUCGCCCCCUCAAUUCUCUCUACUCUCUUUCCCAUAUCCUCUAUUCUCUCACCCCCUCAAUUCUCUCUACUCUCUUUCCCAUAUCCUCUAUUCUCUCACCCCCUCAAUUCUCUCUACUCUCUUUCCUAUAUCCCCUAUUCUCUCACCCCCUCAAUUCUCUAUACUCUCUUUCCCAUAUCCUCUAUUCUCUCACCCCCUCAAUUCUCCCUACUCUCUUUCCCAUAUCCUCUAUUCUCUCACCCCCUCAAUUCUCUCUACUCUCUUUCCCAUAUCCCCUAUUCUCUCACCCCCUCAAUUCUCUCUACUCUCUUUCCCAUAUCCCCUAUUCUCUCACCCCCUCAAUUCUCUCUACUCUCUUUCCCAUUAUCCCCUAUUCUCUCACCCCCUCAAUUCUCUCUACUCUCUUUCCCAUAUCCCCUAUUCUCUCACCCCCUCAAUUCUCUCUACUCUCUUUCCCAUAUCCCCUAUUCUCUCACCCCCUCAAUUCUCUCUACUCUCUUUCCCAUAUCCUCUAUUCUCUCACCCCCUCAAUUCUCCCUACUCUCUUUCCCAUAUCCUCUAUUCUCUCACCCCCUCAAUUCUCUCUACUCUCUUUCCCAUAUCCCCUAUUCUCUCACCCCCUCAAUUCUCUCUACUCUCUUUCCCAUUAUCCCCUAUUCUCUCACCCCCUCAAUUCUCUCUACUCUCUUUCCCAUAUCCCCUAUUCUCUCACCCCCUCAAUUCUCUCUACUCUCUUUCCCAUAUCCCCUAUUCUCUCACCCCCUCAAUUCUCUCUACUCUCUUUCCCAUAUCCUCUAUUCUCUCACCCCCUCAAUUCUCUCUACUCUCUUUCCCAUAUCCCCUAUUCUCUCACCCCCUCAAUUCUCUCUACUCUCUUUCCAAUAUCCCCUAUUCUCUCACCCCCUCAAUUCUCUCUACUCUCUUUCCCAUAUCCUCUAUUCUCUCACCCCCUCAAUUCUCUCUACUCUCUUUCCCAUAUCCUCUAUUCUCUCACCCCCUCAAUUCUCUCUACUCUCUUUCCCAUAUCCCCUAUUCUCUCACCCCCUCAAUUCUCUCUACUCUCUUUCCCAUAUCCCCUAUUCUCUCACCCCCUCAAUUCUCUCUACUCUCUUUCCCAUAUCCCCUAUUCUCUCACCCCCUCAAUUCUCUCUACUCUCUUUCCCAUUAUCCCCUAUUCUCUCACCCCCUCAAUUCUCUCUACUCUCUUUCCCAUAUCCCCUAUUCUCUCACCCCCUCAAUUCUCUCUACUCUCUUUCCCAUAUCCCCUAUUCUCUCACCCCCUCAAUUCUCUCUACUCUCUUUCCCAUAUCCUCUAUUCUCUCACCCCCUCAAUUCUCCCUACUCUCUUUCCCAUAUCCUCUAUUCUCUCACCCCCUCAAUUCUCUCUACUCUCUUUCCCAUAUCCCCUAUUCUCUCACCCCCUCAAUUCUCUCUACUCUCUUUCCCAUUAUCCCCUAUUCUCUCACCCCCUCAAUUCUCUCUACUCUCUUUCCCAUAUCCCCUAUUCUCUCACCCCCUCAAUUCUCUCUACUCUCUUUCCCAUAUCCCCUAUUCUCUCACCCCCUCAAUUCUCUCUACUCUCUUUCCCAUAUCCUCUAUUCUCUCACCCCCUCAAUUCUCUCUACUCUCUUUCCCAUAUCCCCUAUUCUCUCACCCCCUCAAUUCUCUCUACUCUCUUUCCAAUAUCCCCUAUUCUCUCACCCCCUCAAUUCUCUCUACUCUCUUUCCCAUAUCCUCUAUUCUCUCGCCCCCUCAAUUCUCUCUACUCUCUUUCCCAUAUCCUCUAUUCUCUCACCCCCUCAAUUCUCUCUACUCUCUUUCCUAUAUCCCCUAUUCUCUCACCCCCUCAAUUCUCUCUACUCUCUUUCCCAUAUCCUCUAUUCUCUCGCCCCCUCAAUUCUCUCUACUCUCUUUCCCAUAUCCUCUAUUCUCUUGCCCCCUCAAUUCUCUCUACUCUCUUUCCCAUAUCCCCUAUUCUCUCACCCCCUCAAUUCUCUCUACUCUCUUUCCCAUAUCCUCUAUUCUCUCACCCCCUCAAUUCUCUCUACUCUCUUUCCCAUAUCCUCUAUUCUCUCGCCCCCUCAAUUCUCUCUACUCUCUUUCCCAUAUCCUCUAUUCUCUCACCCCCUCAAUUCUCUCUACUCUCUUUCCCAUAUCCUCUAUUCUCUCACCCCCUCAAUUCUCUCUACUCUCUUUCCUAUAUCCCCUAUUCUCUCACCCCCUCAAUUCUCUAUACUCUCUUUCCCAUAUCCUCUAUUCUCUCACCCCCUCAAUUCUCCCUACUCUCUUUCCCAUAUCCUCUAUUCUCUCACCCCCUCAAUUCUCUCUACUCUCUUUCCCAUAUCCCCUAUUCUCUCACCCCCUCAAUUCUCUCUACUCUCUUUCCCAUAUCCCCUAUUCUCUCACCCCCUCAAUUCUCUCUACUCUCUUUCCCAUUAUCCCCUAUUCUCUCACCCCCUCAAUUCUCUCUACUCUCUUUCCCAUAUCCCCUAUUCUCUCACCCCCUCAAUUCUCUCUACUCUCUUUCCCAUAUCCCCUAUUCUCUCACCCCCUCAAUUCUCUCUACUCUCUUUCCCAUAUCCUCUAUUCUCUCACCCCCUCAAUUCUCCCUACUCUCUUUCCCAUAUCCUCUAUUCUCUCACCCCCUCAAUUCUCUCUACUCUCUUUCCCAUAUCCCCUAUUCUCUCACCCCCUCAAUUCUCUCUACUCUCUUUCCCAUUAUCCCCUAUUCUCUCACCCCCUCAAUUCUCUCUACUCUCUUUCCCAUAUCCCCUAUUCUCUCACCCCCUCAAUUCUCUCUACUCUCUUUCCCAUAUCCCCUAUUCUCUCACCCCCUCAAUUCUCUCUACUCUCUUUCCCAUAUCCUCUAUUCUCUCACCCCCUCAAUUCUCUCUACUCUCUUUCCCAUAUCCCCUAUUCUCUCACCCCCUCAAUUCUCUCUACUCUCUUUCCAAUAUCCCCUAUUCUCUCACCCCCUCAAUUCUCUCUACUCUCUUUCCCAUAUCCUCUAUUCUCUCGCCCCCUCAAUUCUCUCUACUCUCUUUCCCAUAUCCUCUAUUCUCUCACCCCCUCAAUUCUCUCUACUCUCUUUCCUAUAUCCCCUAUUCUCUCACCCCCUCAAUUCUCUCUACUCUCUUUCCCAUAUCCUCUAUUCUCUCGCCCCCUCAAUUCUCUCUACUCUCUUUCCCAUAUCCUCUAUUCUCUUGCCCCCUCAAUUCUCUCUACUCUCUUUCCCAUAUCCCCUAUUCUCUCACCCCCUCAAUUCUCUCUACUCUCUUUCCCAUAUCCUCUAUUCUCUCACCCCCUCAAUUCUCUCUACUCUCUUUCCCAUAUCCCCUAUUCUCUCACCCCCUCAAUUCUCUCUACUCUCUUUCCCAUAUCCCCUAUUCUCUCACACCCUCAAUUCUCUCUACUCUCUUUCCCAUAUCCCCUAUUCUCUCGCCCCCUCAAUUCUCCAUCUCCCUGUUUCGUUCUCCCUCUUUCUCUCCACAGAGAGCAGGAUCCAGAUGUCCCUGCUCUGCUCCUUUCCGCCCUGG
rnacentral:lncRNA from 1 species